rnacentral:rRNA from 1 species
GAUGAACGCUGGCGGCGUGCCUAAUACAUGCAAGUCGAGCGAACGGACGAGAAGCUUGCUUCUCUGAUGUUAGCGGCGGACGGGUGAGUAACACGUGGAUAACCUACCUAUAAGACUGGGAUAACUUCGGGAAACCGGAGCUAAUACCGGAUAAUAUUUUGAACCGCAUGGUUCAAAAGUGAAAGACGGUCUUGCUGUCACUUAUAGAUGGAUCCGCGCUGCAUUAGCUAGUUGGUAAGGUAACGGCUUACCAAGGCAACGAUGCAUAGCCGACCUGAGAGGGUGAUCGGCCACACUGGAACUGAGACACGGCCCAGACUCCUACGGGAGGCAGCAGUAGGGAAUCUUCCGCAAUGGGCGAAAGCCUGACGGAGCAACGCCGCGUGAGUGAUGAAGGUCUUCGGAUCGUAAAACUCUGUUAUUAGGGAAGAACAUAUGUGUAAGUAACUGUGCACAUCUUGACGGUACCUAAUCAGAAAGCCACGGCUAACUACGUG